UAUUAGUUAUUUAUAAAAAUUGCCCAAGUAACUGAAAUGCACUUUGCUGUUCUCUCCUCGUUUGUUUAGUAUGUGACAAACAGCAACAUCUCUAAAUGGCAGGAAACAACAAAACGGGAAAUCUGUCAGCAUCUGCAUCAUGCAGGAGAUAGAACAUCAUGCAGGUUUUCGCCUAAUGAUUGGCUCCCGGGAGAGUAAUUAGUAAUUGGCGCACUUCUUGCUGGUGCAACCUUGGCUUCUCUGCCAGAGGAUUCUGAGAAAAGACCGGCCUCAAGGCCUUGAUUCAUGGAAAAAUUACUCCAGGUGCCUGGCUGUGGGCACUGUUCAGCUUUAAUACGGUGGCACUAACACUUAUGCCUUGCACCUGUGAUGACUGAUCCAGAACCAGCAUAAAGGGAGUCUAAGCUGAGAACGACUGCUUCGAGAGCCCUUGUUCAAUUCAACAGCAGCUCUCGACAAAACGCUAACCUCUUCCCAUUGAUCACAGCAUGUCUACGUGAAAGCACAGAUGGCCACAGUGGAGUCCACCCACAAAGCAGCUCUAAUAUGGAGAAAACCAACCCACAAUUUCAGCUCCAAGAAGGAGGCGGAGGAGAGCAUUACUGCCAAACCCCGGACAUCUGCCUGGCUGCCAGCCAACCGUCACAGUAUCCUCCCUGCGAACAUUGCAUGUGGCAGCUCACACCCUUGCCAAGUCAUGAAAAUGAUUACCCUACGGCUGUAUGGUGGUGAAAUGGGAAGAGUUUCAAUGACUCAGUUUUGUAAAACACCAAGAAAAAAAAAGACAAGUGAGCACAAGGAAACGAAGAAAGACCAACAAACUUCCUUGUUUCCAAGAAGCAGAAGCACUGAGAAAUGAAAGUCAAGGUCCAUGCUAUCCAGAGAGGGCUUUCAAUUCUGAUCUUCCAUGUCAGUGUUAGUUUUUCAAUGUUGAUAACACCAUUUCUUAUUUUCCAGUAUUGCAAGCUCUCAGUCAUAUGACCUGAAAUGAAAAGAUGGAGAUGAUAUGGAUAAAUCAAACGGGAAAGUAUCAGUAGAAUAUUUUUAAAAGUACACAUUUGGCUUGGGCAGGAACUUCUUGCUUUCAUUCAGUAACAUUAAAUACCCUUUCCUAAUCAAGUUUGGCUUAGUUGAAAUCAAAAUUAGUUUCUGUUUCCUGAGCCACUGAAAGCAAGGGGAGGUGACUUAGAACAUUAUUCUGGCUAAAGCAAUUGCAGCUUAACUAAGGACAAGCCACAAAGUAGAAUCCUACAUUCAGAUAAUAUGGAACUCAAUUUAACACACACUCUUUUUUAUUUUCUUUUCUUGUGCUUUUUUUUUUUUUUUCAUGAGGAAGAUUGUCACUGAGCUCACAUCUAUGGCAACUUUCCUCUAUUUUGUAUGUCGGACACCAACAUAGCAUGGUUUGAGAAAUGGUGGGUAGGUCCACACACGAGAUUUGAACCCACAAGCCCCAGGCCUCUGAAGCAGAGCAUGCAAACUUAACCACUACACCACAGGGCAAGCCCCUGACACACAUUCUGCAUAGCAGAGCUCCACAUUCAUGACUAAGACAACCCAACCCAAUAGCAACAGCAUCACCUUCCUUCACUCCCACCAAGUGAAAAUACACUGGAGAAUGGCUAAGCUCCAAAACAGUGAGUUGCUAAUCAUGAUGGUUUCCGUGCUUCUUUUAGAGGAAAUGAGAAGAAAUCCAAUGCCUGCAUGUGUCUUUUCAGGAAAUUGCUCAUCUGUCUAAUUAAGCUCUUCUUUCUUCAUAGGUCUGUGGAUACAUUCAGCAGACACGUGGCUUCCAGAAAACCUUCUUGCCCUCUUUCUUUUGGGCAUUCGAAGUUUCUGAUGUGAUAGAAUCUCCUUAAAAUGGAGAUUUGUGAAAAUUAAAGUCUCCUUUUAAUUUUUAAAAAUUAAAUUCUCUAUGUUAAGAAGAUUCCAUCACCUUGUAUUAGUUACUGGCUAAAUUUCAUUGACAUGUCAUUAGAAAGAGUCAUUUUCUAUUGAAGCACUUUUGAAAAAGUGUGAAUUAAAGGCUUAAGGGACUAUGCAAAUAGCCUCGUGGCUUGUCACUAGCACAGAGCAUCUAGCUACUCACAGACUCCAAGUUUCUAUGUGCUCUGGCAAGCAUGUGCCAGCUUGUUUAUUUGUUUUUCAGUGGAAUAAUCAUUGUACUUUGGCCUCUGCCCGUUUCAUAAUACACCACAGAGAACCUGCCCUCCGCCUUACCUUCCACCAAUUAACCUUGCUUUAUUUCCUGUCCUUGCAAAGUCAGUACAACCCACUUCACUUCCACCACAGUAAUUUACCAUUUUCUUCCUUCUAAGCCAGGCUCUUCAUUUCUACCUCAAUUACAGAACAACGUAACAGACAUUUAUGGAGUCCUAUGUCAGAUCCUUCAGACGUGAAACAAAUAAGACAAGGGUUUUUCCCUCAAGGAGCUUGCAAUCCAAUCAGAAGAAAUAUACAGAUUUAACCAAAAACCCCACAUCCAACUACAACAGGAACAACAACAACAGGUCUUAUAAACAGCAUGCUGAAGAAGCAAAGAGGAAAAUGUAAGCCUUCGUUAUUCUCUCCACCUAUGAAAAAAAAGUGUUACUUUGAAAUGCUUGUAUGUUUUGCAAAUAAUAAUGUUUGAAUAAUAAAAUUCAAAUACAAGGUCA
rnacentral:lncRNA from 1 species